rnacentral:rRNA from 3 species
UUUAUUGGAGAGUUUGAUCCUGGCUCAGGAUGAACGCUGGCGGCGUGCCUAAUACAUGCAAGUCGAGCGAAUGGA